CUCUCAAGAAGUUAGCGGCGGACGGGUGAGUAACACGUGGGUAACCUGCCCAUAAGACUGGGAUAACUCCGGGAAACCGGGGCUAAUACCGGAUAACAUUUUGAACUGCAUGGUUCGAAAUUGAAAGGCGGCUUCGGCUGUCACUUAUGGAUGGACCCGCGUCGCAUUAGCUAGUUGGUGAGGUAACGGCUCACCAAGGCAACGAUGCGUAGCCGACCUGAGAGGGUGAUCGGCCACACUGGGACUGAGACACGGCCCAGACUCCUACGGGAGGCAGCAGUAGGGAAUCUUCCGCAAUGGACGAAAGUCUGACGGAGCAACGCCGCGUGAGUGAUGAAGGCUUUCGGGUCGUAAAACUCUGUUGUUAGGGAAGAACAAGUGCUAGUUGAAUAAGCUGGCACCUUGACGGUACCUAACCAGAAAGCCACGGCUAACUACGUGCCAGCAGCCGCGGUAAUACGUAGGUGGCAAGCGUUAUCCGGAAUUAUUGGGCGUAAAGCGCGCGCAGGUGGUUUCUUAAGUCUGAUGUGAAAGCCCACGGCUCAACCGUGGAGGGUCAUUGGAAACUGGGAGACUUGAGUGCAGAAGAGGAAAGUGGAAUUCCAUGUGUAGCGGUGAAAUGCGUAGAGAUAUGGAGGAACACCAGUGGCGAAGGCGACUUUCUGGUCUGUAACUGACACUGAGGCGCGAAAGCGUGGGG
rnacentral:rRNA from 1 species